rnacentral:rRNA from 1 species
AGUGAACGCUGGCGGCGUGCCUAAUACAUGCAAGUCGAACGAGUGUCGCGCGCGUGUGUAAUGUAUAGCUAAUCCGCCCUACACUAGAGGACAACAGUUUUGAACGCCUUCUCAUACUCUAUAGUUUAGGAUGAGGCGAUAUUGUAUCAGCUAGUUGGUGGUGUAAUGGCUCACCAAGGCUAUGACGCAUAACUGGUCUGAGAGGAUGAUCAGUGACUCUGGAACUGAGACGCGGUACAGACUCCUACGGGAGGGAGCAGUAGGGGAUAUUGCUCAAUGGGGGGAGACCUGAAGCAGUAACGCUGCGUGGGGGAUGAUACUAGUCGGGGCGUAAACUCCUUUUGGUAGGGAAGCGGUAACUAACGAAUAAGCACCGGCUAACUCCGUGCCAGCAGCCGCGGUAAUAC